CAGCCGCCGCGGUAAAACCAGCACCUCAGGUGGUCAGGAUGAUUAUUGGGCCUAAAGCAUCCGUAGCCGGCUCUGUAAGUUUUCGGUUAAAUCUGUACGCUCAACGUACAGGCUGCCGGGAAUACUGCAGAGCUAGGGAGUGGGAGAGGUAGACGGUACUCGGUAGGAAGGGGUAAAAUCCUUUGAUUUAUUGAUGACCACCUGUGGCGAAGGCGGUCUACCAGAACACGUCCGACGGUGAGGGAUGAAAGCUGGGGGAGCAAACCGGAUUAGAUACCCGGGUAGUCCCAGCUGUAAACUAUGCAAACUCAGUGAUGCAUUGGCUUGUGGCCAAUGCAGUGCUGCAGGGAAGCCGUUAAGUUUGCCGCCUGGGAAGUACGUACGCAAGUAUGAAACUUAAAGGAAUUGGCGGGGGAGCAC
rnacentral:rRNA from 2 species